rnacentral:rRNA from 1 species
GUCGAGUCGGCCUGCGUGGAAGAUAUAACGGGGCUAAAUCAUAAACCGAAGCUACAGAUCUUUUUAAGAUGGUAGAUGAGCGUUCUGUAAGCCGCUGAAGGUAAGCUGUGAGGCGAACUGGAGGUAUCAGAAGUGCGAAUGUUGACAUGAGUAACGAUCAAAGAGGUGAAAAACCUCUUCGCCGAAAAACUAAGGGUUCCUGUCCAACGCUAAUCGAGGCAGGGUGAGUCGGCUCCUAAGGCGAGGGCGAAAGCCGUAGUCGAUGGGAAACAGGUUAAUAUUCCUGUACUUUUUACAACUGCGAUGGGGUGACGGAGAAGGUUAGACUAUCACGGCGUUGGUUGUCCGUGUUUAAGGCUGUAGACUGACAAUUUAGGUAAAUCCGGAUUGUUAAGGUCGAGGGCUGAUGACGAUUACCUAUUGGUAAGAAGUAGUUAAUACCAUGCUUCCAGGAAAAACCUCUAAGCUUCAGGUUGUAAGAAACCGUACCCGAAACCGACACAGGUGGUUAGGUAGAGAAUACCAAGGUGUUUGAGAGAACUUGGGUGAAGGAACUAGGCAAAAUGACACCGUAACUUCGGGAGAAGGUGUGCCGUAGUUAGUGAUUAGACUUGCUCUAUGAGCUGAUUAUGGUCGAAGAUACCAGGUGGCUGCGACUGUUUACUAAAAACAUAGCACUCUGCAAACUCGUAAGAGGACGUAUAGGGUGUGACGCCUGCCCGGUGCCGGAAGGUUAAUUGAUGAAGUUAGCUUCGGCGAAGCUUCUGAUCGAAGCCCCGGUAAACGGCGGCCGUAACUAUAACGGUCCUAAGGUAGCGAAAUUCCUUGUCGGGUAAGUUCCGACCUGCACGAAUGGCGUAACGAUGGCCACACUGUCUCCACCCAAGACUCAGUGAAAUUGAAAUCGCUGUUAAGAUGCAGUGUACCCGCAGCUAGACGGAAAGACCCCGUGCACCUUUACUACAGGUUCACACUGGACUUUGACUUUAUUUGUGUAGGAUAGGUGGGAGACUUUGAAGCCAAAACGCUAGUUUUGGUGGAGUCGUCCUUGAAAUACCACCCUUGUAAAAUUGAGGUUCUAACUUAGGCCCAUUAUCUGGGUUGAGGACAGUGUGUGCUGGGUAGUUUGACUGGGGCGGUCUCCUCCCAAAGAGUAACGGAGGAGUACGAAGGUAUCCUCAACACGGUCGGACAUCGUGUGCAGAGUAUAAAGGCAGAAGGAUGCUUGACUGCGAGAUCGACGGAUCGAGCAGGUAGGAAACUAGGUCUUAGUGAUCCGGUGGUUCUGAAUGGAAGGGCCAUCGCUCAACGGAUAAAAGGUACGCCGGGGAUAACAGGCUGAUACCCCCCAAGAGUUCACAUCGACGGGGGUGUUUGGCACCUCGAUGUCGGCUCAUCACAUCCUGGGGCUGGAGCAGGUCCCAAGGGUAUGGCUGUUCGCCAUUUAAAGUGGUACGCGAGCUGGGUUUAGAACGUCGUGAGACAGUUCGGUCCCUAUCUGCUGUGGGCGUCGGAAAUUUGAGGGAAGCUGAUCCUAGUACGAGAGGACCGGAUUGGACGAACCUCUGGUGUUCCGGUUGUCACGCCAGUGGCAUUGCCGGGUAGCUAUGUUCGGAAAGGAUAACCGCUGAAAGCAUCUAAGCGGGAAGCCUCUCCCAAGAUUAAAUUUCCCAGAAACUUCGGUUUCCUAAAGAGUCGUCAUAGACUAUGACGUUGAUAGGCGAGAUGUGUAAGCGUUGUGAGGCGUUGAGCUAACUCGUACUAAUAACUCGUGAGACUUGAUC